AAAGCAGGUCAUAGUGAUCCGGUGGUUCUGAAUGGAAGGGCCAUCGCUCAACGGAUAAAAGGUACUCCGGGGAUAACAGGCUGAUACCGCCCAAGAGUUCAUAUCGACGGCGGUGUUUGGCACCUCGAUGUCGGCUCAUCACAUCCUGGGGCUGAAGUAGAUCCCAAGGGUAUGGCUGUUCGCCAUUUAAAGUGGUACGCGAGCUGGGUUUAGAACGUCGUGAGACAGUUCGGUCCCUAUCUGCCGUGGGCGCUGGAGAACUGAGGGGGGCUGCUCCUAGUACGAGAGGACCGGAGUGGACGCAUCACUGGUGUUCGGGUUGUCAUGCCAAUGGCACUGCCCGGUAGCUAAAUGCGGAAGAGAUAAGUGCUGAAAGCAUCUAAGCACGAAACUUGCCCCGAGAUGAGUUCUCCCUGAGACUUUAAGUCUCCUGAAGGAACGUUGAAGACGACGACGUUGAUAGGCCGGGUGUGUAAGCGCAGCGAUGCGUUGAGCUAACCGGUACUAAUGAACCGUGAGGCUUAACCUUACAACGCCGAAG
rnacentral:rRNA from 1 species